UGGCAUCUCGUGUACCUUCCUGUUC
rnacentral:piRNA from 1 species